GAACGCUUGUUAUUCCUUAGCAGUCUGUUAAGACGUUUAAAAAGCCUUGCCAAGGGAAAAGCAGCAUACGAAUGUGUGGCACACCAAAAAUCGUGAGAAGCCUAUGCUAUGCUUGACAGGAAGUGUUUCCAGCCCGGUUUCGACGCCCCUGUUGCUUUAUUCUUGGUUUCUCGAAGUGUCACAGCCGACAGGAAAUCUUCAAGCGGCAAGACCUUGUUAAGAACAUUAUCAACUUUUUUAAGUCAUGGUGUAACAAUAAUGUUUUGAAAUGACACCCUUUUAAAAAAAGUAUUAAGUCUUUACUUCAGCUCUUACAUUAAUCUUUUGUACAUUUGAAAGGAGUACCGUGUUCAUAAUAUUAGUACAGGAUCAAAUGGAAACUCCGUUUCAGAGACAGGUAUUGUAAAGUAUGGAUAUUCAUUGCAUGCGCUUCCCCCAGAUGGCUCUUUUACUUUAUUCUCUUUGAAUCUGUCUGUGAAUAUUCUAUUUGAAUGUAUUGCCUGGGGAGAGGGGAUGUCAAGGAGAGAGUUAAUAUUAUUUGCCCAAAAUGGGUCUUUGUUUGUUUAUUUGGUUUUAGGAUGAGAAAGAACUCAAGUGUGUUUAAUUGAAGGAUACUGCAUUUGGACAUUUAAAUUCGUAUUUUGUCCGAUUUUAACAUAUUCCUCACUCUGGCAUACACAGUAAUGAAUGUCAUGAGGCCUUGAUUGCCUUCUUUCCAAAAUAAUAAUUGUAAAUUAUGUUAUACUAUUUAUUUAGCAUCUCUUUAUCCACUUAGCGAAUUAUCUGCAUGUUGUAUGCCUUUUGUCAUUUCACUGCUCAUUAAUAUGUUUAUCACGGAGGAGGUGGGACAACACAAAGUUAUAAAACAAAACUCGCUAACUUUUCUUUGUUGAUAGCAUUGGCAAGAGAUUUAGAAAAGGCUGUAUCUGGCAUUUGACCACCGUCUUGUCCACACAAAUGGAAGCAAGAGCUUGUUUGAAAAUGGGAGCAAUGCCCAGGAAGGAGGAGCAGAAAGAAGGAAAGCAGAAUGAAAAGGGCCAGUAUAAAGCAGCUAAUGCAUCUGACUGUAAUCAGAAGAAUAUUUCAGUUUCACUCCUGGUUAGAAUAUUUACAACAGGUACUUUUCCCUUUAGAUACAACUCACAGGUGUGAGGACUGGCUGAUGAGGAGAAAAAAUUCCUGCAACACUACCAGAUAUAUAUAGAAGACUUAUUUCAUACAUUGGCAGCUCUCCCUGGGCCUCCUAUUUUUGCCAGGGUGAUGACUGAUGAGCACUCAGGACGGACUCAACUGGGUUCAACUUUAGAACAGCACUGUUGUGGCCUGUGUUGCUGUAUUCCCAGAAGUCUUGAUUUUCUGGUUCUGGCUUCCAAUCACUGGAUCACACCUCAGGUCAGUGUCCCUAAUCUCAGCAGUUAACAUUAAUAUCCUCGUCUGUCCCCAGUUUCUUACCUGUGGCUUCACCAUAGCUUUUGUGUGUAAAUUCAGCUACGUAGUUGUAGGAAUCACCUGGGUUCAGAUUAGAACUCCUCUAGUCUUGCCUGUAAUUUGGUAAGCUUCUAAUUCUUAUGUUAAAUGCUUUUCUGCUUAAAAUACUUACAAAGACUUUUAUUUCUGACACUGAAGUUGACUGAUAUGGCCAUAAACUUGUUUUUGCAGGUAAGGUUGGCUAUGUGACUCAAUAGUUGCCACAAUUAUUGGAGUUUUGUUAAAUGUCUUCUGGUAAAGAUUGUUUUCUGGUUAAAGAUAUAAGGCUAUGAAAUGAAGUAGUUGGACUGUUCCCUCUUUCUCCUUCAUUUCCCCCCUUUAAACUUAAUAUUGGAGCAGCUAUCUUGGAACCAUGUGAUUACUAGAUGGAUGAGGACUAAGGCUACUAUGUUAGAGAUAGUGGAGAAGGAUGGGAAUAACCUGGGUCUUUGAUGAUCUCAUUAGUCUGCUGAAGAAGAUCUGGAAUGCUUACUGAAUUUGUGCAUUUCUAGGCUACUUGUUACACACUAAAGAAAUAAUUUCUCAUGGGUAAGAUACUAUUAUUUACUGACCUCCUCAGGCAUUGAUUAAAAGUAAAGGAAUACUGAACUUCUCUAAUGGAGCAGAUGUUGUCAGCGAGGCAUGUUCCUCAGACUUUAUUGUUCCAGUGUAGGCUAGCCAACCCCACAUGGCCAGAAUUAGUAUCUCUGUGCUUGAGAACUUUUCUUGGACAUUCAGAAGGCCUGUUUCCCACUCCUACAGCAAGGGGAAUGUGCCAAGGAAUUAAUGUCCCUCAGAUAUCCCCCAACCAGUGACUCUCAGAAAUUGCAGUAUAAAUAUACUGGUCCCUUGGGCAAGAAAAUUCUGAGGCAUGUGUUUUGUUUUGUUUUACUGUUUACUCAUUUUUUGAGAGAGAGAGAAAGCCUGAGCAGUGGAGGGGCAGAGAGAGGGUGGCAGAGGAUCCAAAGCAGGCUCUGCAAUGAUCAUAGCGAGCCUGAUGCAGGGCUCGAACUCAUGAACCGUGAUAUCAUGAACUGAGCUGAAGUCGGACACUCCACUGACUGAGCCACCUAGGCACCUGAGGCAUGUGUUUUUACACAGUUCCCAGACUUUCACAGCACACUAUGUUAGUUUAAUAACUUGUCCUUGGGUCACUUGGGUGGCUCUGUCACUUAAGUAUUCAGUUCUGGAUUUCACCUCAGGUCAUGAUCUCAUGGUUCAUGAGUUGGAUCCCUACAUGGGGCUCUGUGCUGACCACAUGGAGUCUACUUGGGAUUCUUUCUGUCCCUCUCUGUGCCUCUCCCUGCCUCUUGUAAAGGAAAGGAAGGGAAAGGGAAGGAAAGGAGAGAAGGAAGUUCAAGAGAAUAGGGACACCUGGGUGGCUCAGUCAUUUUUAGGCAUCUGACUCUUGAUUUCGGCUCAGGUCAUGAUCUCACAGUCCGUGGGAUUGAGCCCUGCAUCUGGCUCUGUGCUAACAGUGCAGAGCGUGCUUGGGAUUCUUUCUCUCUAUCCUGUGAUUCUCUCUCUAUCCCUCUCUCUCUACCCCUCCCUUGGUUGCACUCUCUCUUUAAAAAAAGAAAUAAAUUACUGAACCUUUAUUGCUUGUCUUACAUAUCCCCUAGGUAUAGGUUGUACCUCCUAAAUCAAAUAACUGCACUUGAUUUCUUGUCUCUUCUGUGCUUCUGAGAGAAUCAAAGCUAAGAUACCUAAGCUAAACUCAAAUUAGAUAUAUUAGACCGCAAGCAAAUAGGAGGCCCUGAUGCUUCAUUCAGUGGUCAGUGCACA